rnacentral:rRNA from 1 species
AUCAACUUUCGAUGGUAGGAUAGAGGCCUACCAUGGUGGUAACGGGUAACGGGGUGUUAGGGCACGACACCGGAGAGGGAGCCUGAGAAACGGCUACCACAUCCAAGGAUGGCAGCAGGCGCGCAAAUUACCCAAUCCCGACACGGGGAGGUAGUGACAAUAAAUAACAAUACGGGGUUCUUUCGGACCUCGUAAUUGGAAUGAGUACAAUUUAAAUCUCUUAACGAGGAACAAUUGGAGGGCAAGUCUGGUGCCAGCAGCCGCGGUAAUUCCAGCUCCAAUAGCGUAUAUUAAAGUUGUUGCAGUUAAAAAGCUCGUAGUUGAAUUUCGGGAUUGACGUGAUGGUCAUGCCUUAAGGGGUAUGAACUGUCACAGUUGAUUUCUCACCUUCUGGAGAAACUUGAUGUCCUUUAUUGGGUGUCUUGCGGAUCCAGGACCUUUACCUUGAAAAAAUUAGAGUGUUUAAAGCAGGCAUUUUUGCUCGAAUACAUUAGCAUGGAAUAAUAGAAUAGGACGGCAUGGUUCUAUUUUGUUGGUUUCUAGGAUCACCGUAAUGAUUAAUAGGGAUAGUUGGGGGCAUUAGUAUUCAAUUGUCAGAGGUGAGAUUCUUGGAUUUAUUGAAGACUAACUACUGCGAAAGCAUUUGCCAAGGAUGUUUUCAUUAAUCAAGAACGAAAGUUAGGGGAUCGAAGACGAUCAGAUACCGUCGUAGUCUUAACCAUAAACUAUGCCGACUAGGAAUCAGACGAUGUUAAUUUUUUAAUGACUCGUUUGGCACCUUACGGGAAACCAAAGUGUUUGGGUUC